GCCGCGCCGCGCCCGCUCCCGUCAGGCGCCAAGCCGAGGCCUCCGCGGGUUUCCGCGGGCUUAGCCUCUCGGUGUCUCAAUAUCUGUCUGUGAAGUGAAACUCUUAGCCUCGCUUUGCCUAACUUCACGCUGAAGUUACCCAAGUUUUAUUUUCAAAUCUGCCACGUCUCGCUAAGUUUAUAAAGCUCUGAACUCUAAAGUUCCCUGAGAAUACUACACGAUGCCGGUUUCCACUGUUAGGAACGCGGUGACAGGUAAGACGGCAAAAACCAAAGAAACCAAAGCCCUGACCUCCCUCCCCGCCCUCAGCCCCACCCGCCAGAACACAGCGGCCCUGUCCUCUUCGGCCAUUCCAGCCCUGGUCCGUCCCCAUCGCAGCGCAGGUGUUUUAUAUAGUCCGACACAAAGCGGGCGUACAGUGUAAACGUCGACCUUUUUGUCAUACAGCUGAAUGUUUUUAAUGUCAUGAUUACCAAUGCACCGGCAGAACGGUCCACUCCAUCACACUCGUAUCACGUCCGUUGCCUAUCUCCUUCCUGGCGUUUUAUCACUUGGUAACCCUUCAGCAGACAUCCGCUCACCGUCAGAAGAGGCCAGCCUUUUCAGCUUCAGUAUAUCCUGUACACCUCUACUAGACCAAUUUUCCCAACCGCUCCCCC